rnacentral:lncRNA from 1 species
UAAUUUAAUUUUUGGCUCUUCUACUUGCAAUCCAUUUAAAGCACCUUCUAAUAAGAAAGGGAUUUGGAAAAAAAACAAUCAAAAAGAUUUUUUUUUGCUUAAAUAUUACCUCAAGCAAGAUUUUUUUCCAUUCUUAAUUAUUAAAUAAAACUACCUUAGUAUAAAAGUGAUCUUAAGUAAUCCUAGUUGUAAAAAAAAAUUUUGUAUUAAUAUAGCCAAGAGCCAAAGCUUUCAUUUUUUCUUCCCUUUUCACAAUAAGACAGUUAAGAAAUUACCCACUAUAACAAUUAAUAGCAAAGGUUACAUUACAAAAAUAAUUCUUUGCAAAUAAUUCACACCAUGUUAUAGAAGAACUCACAUGGUUGCAUUUCCAGUCAACCUAGCACUUGUUAAAGAUCUCU